UGAGGAAUAUUGGUCAAUGGGCGGGAGCCUGAACCAGCCAAGUCGCGUGAAGGAAGAAGGAUCUAUGGUUCGUAAACUUCUUUUGCAGGGGAAUAAAGUGCAGGACGUGUCCUGUUUUGUAUGUACCCUGAGAAUAAGGAUCGGCUAACUCCGUGCCAGCAGCCGCGGUAAUACGGAGGAUCCGAGCGUUAUCCGGAUUUAUUGGGUUUAAAGGGUGCGUAGGUGGUUUGAUAAGUCAGCGGUGAAAGUUUGCAGCUUAACUGUAAAAAAGCCAUUGAAGCUGUAGGACUUGAGUGUAAAUGAAGUAGACGGAAUGCGUGGUGUAGCGGUGAAAUGCAUAGAUAUCACGCGGAACUCCGAUUGCGAAGGCAGCUUACUAAGCUACAACUGACACUGAAGCACGAAAGC
rnacentral:rRNA from 1 species